AAGGUCCUCUCCUGGAUCAGUAACUGGUUAAAGAUACAAAACAAAGGGUAGGAAUAAAUAGUCAGUUUUCAGAAUGGAGAGAGGUAAGUAGUGGUGUCCACCAGGGGUCCGUACUGGGAUGAGUACUGUUCAACGUAUUCAUAAACGAUCUGGAA